CCUACGGGUGGCUGCAGUGAGGAAUAUUGGACAAUGGGCGGGAGCCUGAAGCAGCCACGUCGCGUGAGGGAAGACGGUCCUAUGGAUUGUAAACCCCGUUAGGCGGGGAGCAAUGCCGGGCACGUGUGCACGGAGGGAGAGUAACCGCAGAAUAAGCAUCGGCUAACUCCGUGCCAGCAGCAGCGGUAAUACGGAGGAUGCGAGGGUUAUCCGGAUUUAUUGGGUGUAAAGGGUGCGGGGGCGGAGUUGUAAGUCAGCGGUAAAAUGUCCGGGGUAAAACCCGGCCGGGCGCUUGAAACUGGGGAUCUUGAGUGCACGAGAAGUAUGCGGAAUGCCUGGUGUAGCGGUGAAAUGCAUAGAUAUCACGAGGAACUCCGAUGGCGAAGGCAGCAUACUGGCGCCCGACUGACGCUGAGGCACGAAAGCGUGGGGAUCGAACAGGAUUAGAUACCCGAGUAGUC
rnacentral:rRNA from 1 species